GCUGGCGGCGCGCCUAACACAUGCAAGUCGAACGGGAAAGUGGAGCAAUCCAUGAGUACAGUGGCGUACGGGUGAGUAACACGUGGGUAAUCUACCUCUUAGUGGGGAAUAACCCUGGGAAACCGGGGCUAAUACCGCAUAAGCCUGAGAAGGGAAAGCAGCAAUGCGCUGAGAGAGGAGCCCGCGGCCGAUUAGCUAGUUGGCAGGGUAAAAGCCUACCAAGGCAGAGAUCGGUAGCCGGCCUGAGAGGGCACACGGCCACACUGGCACUGAAACACGGGCCAGACUCCUACGGGAGGCAGCAGUGGGGAAUCUUGCACAAUGGGGGAAACCCUGAUGCAGCGACGCCGCGUGAGCGAUGAAGCCCUUCGGGGUGUAAAGCUCUUUCGUCAGGGAAGAUAAUGACGGUACCUGGAGAAGCAGCUGCGGCUAACUACGUGCCAGCAGCCGCGGUAAUACGUAGGCAGCAAGCGUUGUUCGGAGUUACUGGGCGUAAAGGGUGUGUAGGCGGUUCUUUAAGUUUGGUGUGAAAUCUCCCGGCUCAACCGGGAGGGUGCGCCGAAUACUGAGGGACUAGAGUACGGGAGAGGAAAGUGGAAUUCCUGGUGUAGCGGUGAAAUGCGUAGAUAUCAGGAGGAA
rnacentral:rRNA from 1 species